CCCCAAGCGGCUCCUUCAACCCCUGAGAUCUUAAACAAAAUCUCUGGCUUUUCUUCUGACCUGGGAAGGAGGAACUCCGGCUGCGGUGGCCGUGUGCUGUGAACAGAAAGAACCCGUGCUGGUACACCAGGCAUGUGCUGCCACCCAGCGAGGCCAGCAGUCUACCAACUGAGCUAACUGCCAGCUGCCGCCCUUCCAAGCCCAAGCCCGGAAGAUGUGAGUAGCACGGGGCGAGAUUUCUGACCCACAACACCUCCCAUCCCAGCACUGGAGACUGAAGCAUGGAUUCUGAGGCCAGCCUGGGCUACCAAAGAAGACUGUGUUUUAAAAAGAAAAAGAAAAAAAGAAAAUUAAAAUGGACUAACCCUCAAGUGCUGAGAGAGCGGCAGGGGGCCUACUGGGCUCUGCCCACUGCUACAAUGCUUCCUCUUUGAGGUCACUAGGCUACUACCCAGUCGUUGAAGAGGAGUAUAGCUCUGACACCAUGCCAGUGGUUUAAACUGGAUACAGGAGAACUCGCAUGUAAGAUCCACUUCCAGAAGGUCCCAAGAGCACAGAGAUGGGGUGGGAAGUGAAUGGGCACCUCGAACCCUUGUCCCCAUCCAGGGGUGGGAGGGGAUUAGUGUAGGAUGGGAGCAGGGCAUCUUAGUGCAUUAUGGAAAGCUCUAAAGUGGGGGAGUCCAGUGACUGCUCUGCUGUCCACAGCCGUGGGCUAGGACAGAUAAGGUGGGGACAGGCCAGUGAGAGAAACAAGGGAGACCAGCACACAAGGGCCUCAUACCUGGUUCCUCCAGGCCUGGCAGUCCUGUGGUUGUAUCUGUGUGUGGCCAAGCCAGUGAGACUUAGGGAUAACCUGAGACCCUGGGCAUGGCUGGCAUUGUUUAUACGAAUGUGAAUUCUGGGGUCGCCCUGUUUGUGCUCUGAGCUGAGUAAGGCUCUCAACAUAAAUGAGGGAGGCAGGGCCCAGGAAUAUGGCUCAGCAGGUAAAGGUGCUUGCAGCCAGGUCUUGAUGACCCAAGUUCAAUUCCCAUUUGAUGGAAAGAGAACUGACUCCACUCAAGUGAUCUCCACAUGUGUAUGGAUGCAUUCACAACAGAUAAAUAAUAGCUAAUAAUA
ensembl:antisense Atcayos ataxia, cerebellar, Cayman type, opposite strand